UAUAAAAGCGCGUUACAUAUAAACAUUUCAAAAUGUUUAAGUGGAAUUCACGUUUGAAACGCCAAGUGAGAGCUGCUAAUUCUGUUCUUUUCGAUGAAGCGUUACUAAAAAUAAGUGAUCUAAUAAUAAUUUUUGCUUUAUUUUGAAUAAUAGCUAUAAAAAUGUAAUUGUGUCGUCAAACACAGGUAAAAUUUUUUUUGUAAUCGUUUGAUAAUUUGUAAUCAGAUAGUUGUUUACGUUACGAACCUAUUUUAAAAAAGAAUGGAUCCAAAUUAUAGCCUAAUUUAUUAAUUUCAUUAUCAAUUAAGUAAGUACAUAAGCUCACAACCCAUCUAGUGUUAAGUGGUAUAGACCUCACAACGUGAAUGCCGCCCCCAUUUUUAGAAACGAGGUCUGAGUUUUAACUCUAUACCAAAACGGCUGCCCCAUUCUUCAAAUUGCAACGCAUUACUGCUUCGUGGUAGAAAUGGGCGGAAUGGUGGUCUUGCGGGUUAAUCAAACGCCCUACCACCAACGAUUUCAGAAUAUUUGCUAAUUUGAUUUUAAAUAAAAGAUGAAUGAAUCCUUAAUCAUGGAAGUCUUCCAUGUAUACCUAUAUGUCAAAUACAUGUUUCAUUGGAUUUAUUGAUAUCUGCCUGCGGGAUUCUAGCACUGGUUCAGUAAGAUUUCAAAUUAAAUAGUAAAUUCUAGAAUAAAUGAGUUAGUUUUAUGGUUUUAUCAAUAAUAAAGUGUACAACAGAUCCAUCUUACGCCGACAUGAGGCCGACAACGCUAGAACAACCAGUCGAUGAUAUUCUAGGCGAGAUGCUGCUAUUCUUUAUCAAGUAAUAGAUAGUGGAUUUGUUUGACUUGGCAAGAGUAGGCUUUGAUUUGAAUACCAGAAAUAUAGUGCAGUCUUUCACAGCUUGAAGGGAAAUAAAAGCUGUGCAGACUAUUCAUAAUAAUGUUCACCCAAGGUCAUGGGCAAUAUGACGUGAAUAGGAAACUGCAUUUCAGACAUUAACUUAAUGUUCUAUAUUAUUUUUAAACAAAUGAAUCUAAUAUUUUAAGACAAUAAAUAAAUAUUUAUUUUUAUAAUUAGCCCAGUUUUUCGUCGACGAAGCCAUCUUAAGAGAAGCUUCAUUGCAAAUAUCAGGCCGAUAUUUAACUAUAGCGGACAACAAACAAGAGUAGACACAUCGUGAGCUGUAGUUGUAGAAAGAGGAGAAAAUGGAAACUAAGGCGAACCACUGGCUCAUGCAGCUUUCAUUUCAGCAGAGGCUGCUCGUACGCAGGCAGAGGCCGCGCAUCUUCCAGCUGAGAUAUAUAAAAAAAUUCAAGGAAUUGACCAAUAUCGGCAAAAACCUUGUUUAAAAUAAUAAGUUCAAUUUUGUUUUAAUUUUAGCAGAGUCCAUAAUAGUUUAUAUUACCAUAAAAACGAAAUAGCGCUUGUUACAAUAGUCAAGCAAAUCCAAAUAAUAAUAUAUACGUUUUACUUUAGGCUGGUACUACACUAAUUUUAUGACACUAAUGAGUAUAUUUUACGCUAAUAAAACUACUCUCAACUUAGCAUUUCAAAAUGACUAUUUAUUUUUUUAUUGCUAAGAUGGGUGGACGAGCUUACAGCCCACCUGGUGUUAAGUGGUUACUGGAGCCCAUAGCCAUCUACAACGUAAAUGCGCCACCCACAUUGAGAUAUAAGUUCUAAGGUCUCAGUAUAGUUACAACGGCUGCCCCACCCUUCAAACCGAAACGCAUUACUGCUUCACGGCAGAAAUAGGCGGGGCGGUGGUACCUACUCGUGCGGACUCACAAGUGGUCCUACCACCAGUAGAAUACCAGUAUUUAGCUUCAUUGUAUAUUUUGUACUCACAGUAUUUGGCAUGUUCUGCUUCUAGUCUAUAGGGUUAUAGAGCUAUCACCUUGCUAUCAUCCUACUUACCUCGGCCCCAAGUUCAGUUAUAUUUCUUUGAAGUUAUCGGCAGUCGCUAUUAUAUUUCAAUUGUGGCUUCAAUUUCAUGCGGCGAGAAGUUGGACAUGUAUUACAAACAAACUACGAUUUCCUAAUUUAAGAAUUAUUAUUCAAAUAAAACAAAAUUACACAAAAAUAAUAAUUAUCAAACUUAUCUAACGGCCGUCUGGUGUAGUGGUAAGUGCAAUACAAGCUAACAAUUAUGGUCUUGGCCAUCAUAAUAUGAUGAUCAUAAUGCAGUACUCUAUGUACCAACAAGCAUCUCCAACUGGCUUUCAAUACUCACAAUGGUCAACAGUGUUCCUGGUAUGACAAUAAACAUUACUAUAGUACUAUAUAUUAACUGCCUUCCCAGUUUUAAAUAUACUUUUAGAUUGAGUAUUAUUUUGUAGUCAGGUUACUGAGACAGAGCUCAUGAUGUUUUACUUGCCUAAAAACCAAACUUUUUCACUAUUAUGGUGCAGGUCCUGCAUAGGCAUAUUCAGUUGUGAUAAGCCGGACAAAUGUAUCAUGAAAUGUUGCAUCAAUACUAAAAAUGUUAAGAUCACUAUCACAUAUCUGAAAAAUUUAAUUCUUUAGAUAAGUACUAUCAAAUGUUUGUUAUUGUGAAUGAUAGGCUUCAGCAAAAUACUUACUAUUUGCACAUUCUUGAAAUGAUAAUGCUUGCGGUUCUAAAACCUUUCUUCAUAUACAGAAGAUCUGAUAAGUGCAAAUGAGUGCCAUCUAUACACCCCGAAACCCCAGGAAAGCCAAAUUUAUUGUAAAACCUAUAAUGAAGGAAAUUUAUUUACUAUUAUGUUAUGUUUUCAAUCACAAAAUUAUUAUUGUUCAAAUAUCUAUGUACUAUAAAAAUACGACAAAUUUUGAAUUAAAAAAAAAUUAUGUAGGAAAGAUUAAUGGUGGCCUGAAGGCCUUUCCAGUUUCACCAGGACUUAACAUUUCUCAGAACUCUGUUUAAAAUAUAGCUAUAUAUAGCUAAAUAUAGCUAUAGUUAUAAAGCUUCAAGAAUAUAACUGAUAUAUUAUUAUAUGAUUGACUCGUGGAAAUUGUAAAAUCAGUGGAACUCUUGUGCUCUAUACUAUAAGAUAAUUAUUUAACUUACCCAUUUAUAAUAACUUGUGACCCAUUGUACUGUUUGCAGAAACUUUAAAUGUUUCAAUAAAACUGGAAGAUUGUUUAAUGCCAUAGCCACUUCCCUAAUGGCAUUGGAUUUACUAGUUUAACUCAAAAUGCAAAAAGCUCAUUCCCACAGGUUUCUGGUAUGAAAUUUUGCAAUGCUGUUAACACCUGUAUAAAAAAGUUAUUUAAAACAUUUAGUUAAGAAUAAAUCUGAAAUCAAAAAAACAAUGCUACUUUUGAAGACAAGAUUUUGUGAAUCUUUUAUUUUCUUCAUUAUUUACACAUAAUUUAAUAUAAUGUUAAAUUGAAUAUAUAUAAGUACCUUGCA